GGUGCUUGCACUGGUCAAUCUAGUGGCGAACGGGUGAGUAACACGUGGGUAACCUGCCCAUCAGAGGGGGAUAACAUCCGGAAACGGAUGCUAAAACCGCAUAGGUCUUCGAACCGCAUGGUUUGAAGAGGAAAAGAGGCGCAAGCUUCUGCUGAUGGAUGGACCCGCGGUGCAUUAGCUAGUUGGUGAGGUAACGGCUCACCAAGGCCGUGAUGCAUAGCCGACCUGAGAGGGUGAUCGGCCACAUUGGGACUGAGACACGGCCCAAACUCCUACGGGAGGCAGCAGUAGGGAAUCUUCCGCAAUGGACGCAAGUCUGACGGAGCAACGCCGCGUGAGUGAAGAAGGUUUUCGGAUCGUAAAACUCUGUUGUUAGAGAAGAACAAGUGCUAGAGUAACUGUUAGCGCCUUGACGGUAUCUAACCAGAAAGCCACGGCUAACUACGUGCCAGCAGCCGCGGUAAUACGUAGGUGGCAAGCGUUGUCCGGAUUUAUUGGGCGUAAAGCGAGCGCAGGCGGUUCCUUAAGUCUGAUGUGAAAGCCCCCGGCUCAACCGGGGAGGGUCAUUGGAAACUGGGGAACUUGAGUGCAGAAGAGGAGAGUGGAAUUCCAUGUGUAGCGGUGAAAUGCGUAGAUAUAUGGAGGAACACCAGUGGCG
rnacentral:rRNA from 1 species